rnacentral:ncRNA from 1 species
UCUUGACUGAGUGUCGGCGGCGGCCGGAACGUUUACUUUGAAAAAAUUAGAGUGUUCAAAGCAGGCUCUCGAGCCUGGAUAAUGGUGCAUGGAAUAAUGGAAUAGGACCUCGGUUCCAUUUUGUUGGUUUUCGGAGCGCGAGGUAAUGAUUAAGAGGGACAGACGGGGGCAUUCGUACUGUGCCGUUAGAGGUGAAAUUCUUGGAUCGGCGCAAGACGAACGACUGCGAAAGCAUUUGCCAAGAAUGUUUUCUUUAAUCAAGAGCGAAAGUCAGAGGUUCGAAGACGAUCAGAUACCGUCCUAGUUCUGACUAUAAACGAUGCCAACUAGCGAUCGGGGGGCGUUACAUUGACGACCCCUCCGGCAGCUUACGGGAAACCAAAGUCUUUGGGUUCCGGGGGAAGUAUGGUUGCAAAGCUGAAACUUAAAGGAAUUGACGGAAGGGCACCACCAGGAGUGGAGCCUGCGGCUUAAUUUGACUCAACACGGGAAAUCUCACCCGGCCCGGACACAGUGAGGAUUGACAGAUUGAGAGCUCUUUCUUGAUUCUGUGGGUGGUGGUGCAUGGCCGUUCUUAGUUGGUGGAGCGAUUUGUCUGGUUAAUUCCGAUAACGAACGAGACUCUGGCUUGCUAAAUAGUUACGCGACCAUCCCGGUCGGCGUUUAACUUCUUAGAGGGACAAGUGGCGUUUAGCCACACGAGAUUGAGCAAUAAC